AGAGUUUGAUCCUGGCUCAGAACGAACGCUGGCGGCAGGCUUAACACAUGCAAGUCGAACGCUCGUGAGCGAUCACGGGAGUGGCAGACGGGUGAGUAACGCGUGGGAACAUACCCUUCGGUUCGGAAUAACUCAGGGAAACUUGAGCUAAUACCGGGUACGGCCGUGAGGCGAAAGAUUGAUCGCCGGAGGAUUGGCCCGCGUUCGAUUAGCUUGUUGGUGAGGUAACGGCUCACCAAGGCGACGAUCGAUAGCUGGUCUGAGAGGAUGAUCAGCCACAUUGGGACUGAGACACGGCCCAAACUCCUACGGGAGGCAGCAGUGGGGAAUAUUGGACAAUGGGCGCAAGCCUGAUCCAGCCAUGCCGCGUGAGUGAUGACGGCCUUAGGGUUGUAAAGCUCUUUCGCUCGGGACGAUAAUGACGGUACCGAGAUAAGAAGCCCCGGCUAACUUCGUGCCAGCAGCCGCGGUAAUACGAAGGGGGCUAGCGUUGUUCGGAAUUACUGGGCGUAAAGCGCGUGUAGGCGGGUCUUUAAGUCAGGGGUGAAAUGCCAAGGCUCAACCUUGGAACUGCCUUUGAUACUGGAGACCUUGAGUCCGGGAGAGGUGAGUGGAACUGCGAGUGUAGAGGUGAAAUUCGUAGAUAUUCGCAAGAACACCAGUGGCGAAGGCGGCUCACUGGCCCGGAACUGACGCUGAGACGCGAAAGCGUGGGGAGCAAACAGGAUUAGAUACCCCCGUAGUCC
rnacentral:rRNA from 1 species